rnacentral:pre_miRNA from 1 species
ACUAUUUCAAACUUAGUCUGGAUACUACAAAAGAUAGUCUGCAUAUUUAAAAAUAUGCUCACUGUAAAUUUGUAGUGUUCAGAUUGAGUUUAGAAUGGUCG